AUGACUCUCAGCAACGGAUAUCUUGGCUCUUGCAACGCGAUACCUAGUGUGAAUUGCAGAAUUCCGCGAAUCAUCGAGUUUUUGAACGCAAGUUGCGCCCGAGGCUUGUUCCAAGGGCAUGCCUGCCUGAGCGUCC
rnacentral:rRNA from 1 species